rfam:Rhodococcus pyridinivorans SB3094, complete genome.
GUCGGUCCUCGGUAGUGACCUUCCGGUCCCGUCGGGUGUCGUAUCCCGAAUCCGCCGGAGGGUUUCGAUCGACGACCGCC